AAAAAAAGUGUUACUUUAGUGCAUAGUUACUAGAUUCAUUCACCCCGUGGGUACUGCUUUCUGGGUCACAUGUUCCAGUUGGUGUAUUUUUUGCAUCUCAAACUGCUAGGGGACAUGAUCAGAGGUGCCAAAAGGGUUCCAGUGGAAAAGGAAAAAAAAAAGAGUAGAAAAUGAAUGAUAAAUAAAGAUGAUGAAAGAAACGGCCAUGCACAGGAGAAAGAAGAGCAAGAGCAACAAUGCAAGGAGAAGGAGAAAUAAAAAGGCGCUUGGAUAAGAAAAAAACAAAAUAGGGUUCUCUUGUUUCUUCAAUGAAGUAGCAGCAGCAACAACACAAGGAGGAGAAGACGAAAUAGAUAUGACGUGCAGAUAAGGG
rnacentral:misc_RNA from 1 species